AUACGGAGGAUCCGAGCGUUAUCCGGAUUUAUUGGGUUUAAAGGGUGCGCAGGCGGCCAUUUAAGUCAGCGGUUAAAUCGUGGGGCUCAACCCCAUUCUGCCGUUGAUACUGGGUGGCUUGAUUGCGGUCGAGGUUGGCGGAAUUCGUUGUGUAGCGGUGAAAUGCAUAGAUAUGACGAAGAACACCGAUUGCGUAGGCAGCUGACCAGACCGCAAAUGACGCUCAUGCACGAAAGUGCGGGGAUCGAACAGGAUUAGAUACCCUGGUAGUCCGCACAGUAAACGAUGAAUACUUGUUUUCGGCGAUAUAAUGUCGGAGGCAAAGCGAAAGCGAUAAGUAUUCCACCUGGGGAGUACGCCGGCAAGGUUGAAACUCAAAUGAAUUGACGGGG
rnacentral:rRNA from 1 species